UUAUUUUAUUUCAAAACUUUUCAAUCCAAACACACUCAGUGUGUUAUGUGUGUUUCAGAUCGAGGCUAUGAAUUCCUCGAGAGAUUGGGUGGUGUUAUCAACUGCGGCGGUUUUGGGUGCUUUAGCCUCAACUUCGGUUAUAUCUUUCUACUUUUUCUUCAACGGCAAAAGAAAGCGCUUCCCCUUUUCCUCCGCCACCUCCAACGGCCGCCGGAGCAGCAGCAACGUCGUCGUCUUCAAUUCGUCGUCUAACGGCUCUGAUGAGAGUCGGGAGAUUAAAGCUCAACCCUUGAACCCUUUUGAUCCCUCCAGACGAAAAGGAUAUUUGUCAUGGGAUGACUACUUUAUGGCAAUAGCAUUUCUAUCAGCUGAGAGGUCUAAAGAUCCCAAUAGGCAGGUUGGUGCAUGUUUGGUCAGUCAAAAUGGCAUCAUAUUAGGCAUUGGCUAUAAUGGAUUCCCACGUGGGUGUUCGGACGAUAUGCUUCCAUGGUCAAAGAAAUCCAAGAACGGAAAUCCACUGGAGACAAAGUACCCUUAUGUUUGUCAUGCUGAAGUCAAUGCAAUUCUUAAUACAAAUCAUGCAUCUGCUGCAGGACAGGUUAGCUCCAACUUUGAAUUCUCUCUUCUUCAGUUCUUAGAAACUCUAUGUUACUAUGUUUCCAUGCAACGAAUGUGCAAAGAUUAUUAUCCAGUCAGGUGUGUCAGAAGUGAUAUACUUUGUGGAGAAGAGGUUGGAUAACUCUCAAACUACCUACGUUGCAUCACAAAAACUUCUAUCCAUGGCUGGUGUGAAAAUUAGAAGACAUCAACCUCAGAUGAAUCAGAUUUUGAUCAAAUUUCAGGAGCUAUAGGGGAUGUGCCGAGGGUUUAUGUCACAGGGUAUAUUAGUACCUGUCAACUAACCAAUGCGUAUCAAUGCUCCCUUUUGCAUUUGCAGUUCAAGAGCCAAGUUAUUUUCGCAUUACAAGGUGAUUACCCAAAUGAGGAGAAAGGAAUUGGUCAGACUUGUAUUCCGGGAGCCAAGAGACCUGGUCCAUGGAUGUAUGAAUCAUAUAACUGGACGAAAAGAUGUCUGUUUUGUAUCUGAUUCAUAGUAUUGAUGUUGUACGUGUUUGAAGAUGAUUAUUCCUUGUAAUUGAAAAGCAGACUUGGUUGUCUUCCUCCUUCAUUUUGACAAGAAAAAGGGAGCAAAAACACAAUUAGCUAAAA